CUAAUUAGCUUCCUUACACUAAUUGAUGAACAGGUCGUACUCGUUAGUUCAGCCGGUGUCUUACUCUCCCUCCUUUUCUUUCUCUCUACUCGUGCACGUGCGCACCCAGCAUGCCUCAUAACAUGACACAUAAAUUAAUAAAACUUAUAAACAAAAUACAACUUCUUUUUAAAUAUUCUGUCUCCCACACUGCUUGGGAAUAAUCCUGCACUGAGACCUACAGUAUGUGGGUGAUAUAGACUCUGGUCAAAUCUCUUCAGGUGACUUUAGAUUUCCAGAUUUGUGUUAGUGAUCAGAAGUUCAGGAGCAGAGUUGGGAAGCAAUGAGAAACAUGAUGAAGAAAUUGAGUCCUGAAACAGCUGAUGAACAGAGAGAACUCCUCACUGAGUGGAGAACCUGAAUCACUUCUUUACACCAGAAACAUCAGCAACUUACAGCCAGUUAAAGCAGCUUUCAUUAUUUUAUAGCCAUGUUUGAAAUAUUUUUGUUCUGCAGCCAGAAGGUUGGAACUGUUUCAGUCAGCUGUUUAAAUUUAUCAAUGAUCACUUUUUAUUGGGAAUAUUAGAAAUGAAGAAAAUUAUUAAAGCUCGACUGAAGUUCUGAAUGUAAAUUUUGCAUAUGCAUUUAGUAAGGAAGAAAACUGUGUGUGUGUGUGUGUGUGUGUGUGUGUGUGUGUGUGUGUGUGUGUGUGUUAUAGUAAAAUAGUGAGGGACAGGGUGAUAACAUGUAGUGGAGUUAGUGUUACCAACCAAAAUAUUUAAUUCCUCUUGCUAUUCCUGUAACUAUCUACAUAAUAAUAGCGUGUGUUUUGUUAGCAACAGGCUAGCCUGCUAAUAUUACUGAUCUUUAUGAUGUAUUACAUUCUCUAAACUGUAGGUUUGUCUUAUAAAGCAGCUAAUGUUUCUGUGCUAAUGGAUCUAAAUUAGUAACUGCUAUAAACAAAAUCAAAAAAAUAAAAUCCUGUGCUUUUUAUUA